rnacentral:rRNA from 1 species
UGAGGAAUAUUGGUCAAUGGGCGAGAGCCUGAACCAGCCAAGUAGCGUGCAGGAAGACGGCCCUAUGGGUUGUAAACUGCUUUUAUAUGGGGAUAAAGUGGGGAACGUGUUCCCUUUUGCAGGUACCAUAUGAAUAAGGACCGGCUAAUUCCGUGCCAGCAGCCGCGGUAAUACGGAAGGUUCGGGCGUUAUCCGGAUUUAUUGGGUUUAAAGGGAGCGUAGGCCGUUUGGUAAGCGUGUUGUGAAAUGUAGGAGCUCAACUUCUAGAUUGCAGCGCGAACUGUCAGACUUGAGUGCGCACAACGUAGGCGGAAUUCAUGGUGUAGCGGUGAAAUGCUUAGAUAUCAUGAAGAACUCCGAUUGCGAAGGCAGCUUACGGGAGCGCAACUGACGCUGAAGCUCGAAGGUGCGGGUAUCGAACAGG